rnacentral:other from 1 species
AAUCCCCUGGAGGGUUCGCGAUUCCUGUCCCAGUGCUGACCGAACAAUCUUGUAAUUGGGAUCCGGUUGCUGCUUCCCCUGUGCAUGCCCGGCUUUGAUCGGGAGUCCUAAAGGAAUCACACUGGAGCCCACCCUGGGAAACCGGGUUCUACAUUGGCAAGGAGCACGGCCCUUUGGGGGAUUU